rnacentral:rRNA from 1 species
GACGAACGCUGGCGGCGUGCCUAAUACAUGCAAGUUGAGCGCUGAAGGUUGGUACUUGUACCGACUGGCUGAGCAGCGAACGGGUGAGUAACGCGUGGGGAAUCUGCCUUUGAGCGGGGGACAACAUUUGGAAACGAAUGCUAAUACCGCAUAAAAACUUUAAACACAAGUUUUAAGUUUGAAAGAUGCAAUUGCAUCACUCAAAGAUGAUCCCGCGUUGUAUUAGCUAGUUGGUGAGGUAAAGGCUCACCAAGGCGAUGAUACAUAGCCGACCUGAGAGGGUGAUCGGCCACAUUGGGACUGAGACACGGCCCAAACGCCUACGGGAGGCAGCAGUAGGGAAUCUUCGGCAAUGGACGAAAGUCUGACCGAGCAACGCCGCGUGAGUGAAGAAGGUUUUCGGAUCGUAAAACUCUGUUGGUAGAGAAGAACGUUGGUGAGAGUGGAAAGCUCAUCAAGUGACGGUAACUACCCAGAAAGGGACGGCUAACUACGUG